rnacentral:snRNA from 1 species
AAAAAAGGGUAAAUUCCUUUAAAC